rnacentral:rRNA from 1 species
GAUGAACGCUAGCGGCAGGCUUAAUACAUGCAAGUCGAGGGGCAGCAGGUCUGUAGCAAUACAGAUGUUGGCGACCGGCAAACGGGUGCGGAACACGUACAGAACCUUCCUUCGAGCGGGGAAUAGCCCAGAGAAAUUUGGAUUAAUACCCCAUAGUAUAUUAGAGUGGCAUCACUUUAAUAUUAAAGAUUUAUCACUUGAAGAUGGCUGUGCGGCUGAUAGGUAGUUGGCGGGGUAACGGCCCACCAAGCCAGCGAUCAGUAACUGGUGUGAGAGCACGACCAGUCACACGGGCACUGAGACACGGGCCCGACUCCUACGGGAGGCAGCAGUAAGGAAUAUUGGUCAAUGGACGCAAGUCUGAACCAGCCAUGCCGCGUGGAGGAUGAAGGUCCUCU